CCUUUUAAGUUGUUUAUCUUAGCUAUUUUGUCAACAGCAGCAGAAAGCUGACUAACACAUCUGAGCUGGAUUUUGCUUCUGUUAGAGUGAGAGGGUAUAUAAGACUAAGCACUUUCACGUGUCUAUUGGUCUUUCCAUUUUUUUCUUUAAUGUUUGUGGGGAAAAUACUUUUCAACUGUUUCCUCCUUUCCCUCCUACUUUAUUCUGGAACUCUUUCUGGAUCUAUAUGAAGGGUUAUGGAAAAUAAUAUUCCUACAAGACAGCUCCCCGGGAAAAACAGAGGGACAGUAUGACUCAGGAGGCGGGAGGGGAAAUUAACCAAACAUUAAACAUCUCCCCGUACAUCAUUUCCCAGUAAUAAUGGGCCCCGAGGGAAAAAGCCAACUUUAAAGCAACUUUCAUCCCUCCCCGGGUUUAUCCCUUCCUGGGUUCAUCACCAGUAUCUCCACCGAAAGCAAACAUUCACCCUUCCCAAGCACAUUGGGUCCUGAAGGGAGGAGGCAAAUACUGAAACACUGGGCCCUGGACUUCUACCCUUUCCCAUUGCCAAUGAGUCCUGAAAGGAGAAAAGCAAAUGGUGAAGCUCUAGGUAACAAUGGGUCUCAGAGGACGGAAGAUAAGCAGUGAACACUGAGUUGUGAACUUUUCCCAGUGACAAUGAGUUUCAAACUUUUUUACAACUGCCUUCCUGAGUUAAAAUUUUAACCUGCACAACUAGAUCCCUGACUGUCCGAAUGGCAUGUCCACAGUCUACAAUGAUUAAUUCAUCCUCACUGUAAACUAUAAAACCCAGACUCUUUAUAUAACCUGCAGGCCAUUUCCAUACCCAGAAAAUGAGUCCUCCUGUGCCUAAUUGGUUGACUUCACUGCAGAAUAAAGAAAAACUUGCUGAUCUGAG
rnacentral:lncRNA from 1 species